UACGAAGGGGGCUAGCGUUGCUCGGAAUCACUGGGCGUAAAGGGUGCGUAGGCGGGUCUUUAAGUCAGGGGUGAAAUCCUGGAGCUCAACUCCAGAACUGCCUUUGAUACUGAGGAUCUUGAGUCCGGGAGAGGUGAGUGGAACUGCGAGUGUAGAGGUGAAAUUCGUAGAUAUUGGGAAGAACACCGGUGGCGAAGGCGGCUCUCUGGACCGAGACUGACGCUGAGGCGCGAAAGCGUGGGGAGCAAACAGG
rnacentral:rRNA from 1 species